GCAGCGAGAAAGCGUUGCCGUAGGCAACGACCCGAAGGGCGAAGCGCGCAGCGCUGAGUAAUCCUUCCCCCGUCAUCC
rnacentral:sRNA from 1 species